GAGGAAUAUUGGUCAAUGGAGGCAACUCUGAACCAGCCAUGCCGCGUGCAGGAUGACGGUCCUAUGGAUUGUAAACUGCUUUUGUACGGGAAGAAAUGUAUUUACGUGUAGAUAUUUGACGGUACCGUAAGAAUAAGGAUCGGCUAACUCCGUGCCAGCAGCCGCGGUAAUACGGAGGAUCCGAGUGUUAUCCGGAAUUAUUGGGUUUAAAGGGUUCGUAGGCGGCUAAGUAAGUCAGUGGUGAAAUCUUGCAGCUUAACUGUAAAAUUGCCGUUGAUACUGCUUGGCUUGAAUAGUAUAGAAGUAAUUAGAAUAUGUAGUGUAGCGGUGAAAUGCUUAGAUAUUACAUGGAAUACCAAUUGCGAAGGCAGAUUACUACGUAUUUAUUGACGCUGAUGAACGAAAGCGUGGGUAGCGAACAGGAUUAGAUACCCUGGUAGUCCACGCCGUAAACGAUGGAUACUAGCUGUUCGGUUUUCGGACUGAGUGGCUAAGCGAAAGUGAUAAGUAUCCCACCUGGGGAGUACGUUCGCAAGAAUGAAACUCAAAGGAAUUGACGGGGGCCCGCACAAGCGGUGGAGCAUGUGGUUUAAUUCGAUGAUACGCGAGGAACCUUACCAAGGCUUAAAUGUAGAUUGACAGGUUUAGAGAUAGACUUUCCUUCGGGCAAUUUACAAGGUGCUGCAUGGUUGUCGUCAGCUCGUGCCGUGAGGUGUCAGGUUAAGUCCUAUAACGAGCGCA
rnacentral:rRNA from 1 species